ACGCGCUGGUCGGCAUGCGGCGGCUUGGAAAGUGACCCCAGGAUGGGCGAGACCACCCGCCG
rnacentral:rRNA from 1 species